UACGUAGGGUGCAAGCGUUGUUCGGAAUUACUGGGCGUAAAGGGCGCGUAGGCGGCCUUCUAAGUCGAACGUGAAAUCCCCGGGCUCAACCCGGGAACUGCGUCCGAUACUGGAAGGCUUGAAUCCGGGAGAGGGAUGCGGAAUUCCAGGUGUAGCGGUGAAAUGCGUAGAUAUCAGGAGGAACACCAAUUGCGAAGGCAGCUCGCUGGGACGUAACUGACGCUGAGACGCGAAAGCGUGGGGAGCAAACAGG
rnacentral:rRNA from 1 species